rnacentral:lncRNA from 1 species
AUAUACCAUAUACAAAUUUCAGUAUUUUAACACAAUACUUGAAGCAACAUACCUCAUUAACUUUAAAUGUAAAUGGGCUAAAUGCUCCAAUUAAAAGACACAGACUGGCAAACUGGAUAAAGAGUCAAGACCCAUCAGUGUGCUGUAUUCAGGAAACCCAUCUCACAUGCAGAGACACAUAUAGACUCAAAAUAAAGGGAUGGAGGAAGAUCUACCGUUCAGAGAACAUUAAGCAGCAUAAAUACACACACACACGCACACACCCACACACCCACACACCCACCCAUACAUGUCAUAUUCAAACUGUUUAAAAAAAAAGAUAAAGGGAUAAUUUUGAAGGCACCAAAGGUUAAAAGCACAUUUUAUUCAAGAGACCAAAGAUAAAAAAUUAUAGCAGGAUUUUGUCAAAAUUUAUGUAUGCCAGAAGAUAAUGACAAAGAAAGAAAGAAAAUGCUGAAAGGAAGAAAAAAAUGAAUUCUACUUUCUCCACACAUAAAGCAGAAUGAUAUUAUUUGAAGGUUGCAUUGGUGCAAUUAUUGUAUUAAUUAUAAUUAAUCAAAGAGAGGUAUUGUAAACCAUAUGAAAGCCACAAGAAAACUUGCAAAAACAAUGAUCUAUAAAAUAAUAACCUGAGAAUGGAGAUAAAGCAGAAUGAUAAAAAAUACUUAAUACAAAAUGAAGGCAAAAAAGAAGGAAUAAAGAAGCAAAGAAGAAACAAAGGAAGACAGUCAGCAAUACCCAAUAAUCCAAUCAUAUCCAUAAUGACAUUGAAUGUAAACAGUCUGAACGCAUCAAGUAAAAGAAAUUGUUAUUUUGGGUGAAAUAGCAUGGACCCAUACACAUUAUUACAAGAAACGUAUUAAACAUAAGAAGAUUAGGUUAAAAGUAAUAUCACAGAAAGAGAUAUACUGUGGAAAAACUAAGGAAAA